ensembl:miRNA
AGAGUAGCUCCAGUGGCGCAAUCGGUUAGCGCGCGGUACUUAUAAGGCAGUACAUCUGUGAGCGAUGCCGAGGUUGUGAGUUCGAGCCUCACCUGGAGCAGUUUUUCUGCUCCCU